rnacentral:lncRNA from 1 species
UCAAAUCUAAGUCAUUUUCAACUUAUUAAUUAACUUUCUAGCCUAUGAAUUUUGAGUGUUACACUUUCCUAACAAAAAAAAAUCCAUUAAGUGCAAUAUUAGCCAAACUUUUUUUGUAAUCCAAAAUUGGACAACCAAGUUGAUAAUGACAUUAGAGAACAAAAACAACACAAAACGACAAUAACAAUACACAAAAUAUAUAUAAAAAUUAUAAUUAAUUUCACUCCUUAAAACAAAACAAAAAUCAAAUCACCAUCCAAAGCACAAUCUUGAAAUGUGUUGUAAGCACAAUAUUUCACUCAAUUUUGAACACUUUCUUCAAAUGCAAAACAAAGCCAUAGAUUUUGUCUUGAUCAGGCAGGGACUUGGAAACACAGUCUUUCUCCAUGCACCUUUUAGCCCAUGCAAUUAACUUGGGGCACUCUGUUUCAAUGCUAAAAUUCCCACGCUUUUCAUAGGCACCAGCUGUAAAAUGGAACCAACACAACAUCAACGUAACCAAGAUUCUCCCCACCAAAAUAAGCCUUGUUUCCAAGCUCUCCAUCUAACAAUUUCAGGCACUCAAUGAACUCUUUCUUUGCUGCUUUUUGUUCUUCUCCCUUUGUGGCCCAUACUUUCCUUCCUAGAUCAUAUAUCUGCAUUUCAUUGACCAUUAAUUUAUCCAUACAAGAUAAAAAUUUAAAUGAUUUCAAUCAUGUAACAAUAAAUUAUGAAAAACAAGAAUUUAAAAAAAAUUAUUUCGUAAAAGAUAUUGAAGCUAAACCUAGAUUAGCAGCCUGGGCAAACCAUUUAGUUUAGUCUCUUAAGAGACACCUACUAGAGUUCAAAGCUUGGUCUCCUAGGCUACUUGGAUUCGAAUAUAAAAUAUAAAAACAAUGUUAUCAAAAUUACCCAAAAAGGAAAGCAAGUAAAACACAGAGAAAUUCGAACCCAAGCAAAUCAACCUAUGCCAGCAAUGUUUAAGCUCAAAAGUUCAAAGGCAGUAAGGCAAAAAAAAGAACCCAUAAAAAUGAAAAGAAAGAGGAGAGAACAUUCUUGUCAACAAAAUCACCCCAGAACUUAGCAAUGGCUCUUUAGUAAGGAUCAGUAGGGCGCAAGGGAGAUUUAUGCGGCCAAAUCUCAUCAAUGUACUAAACCUGAAUGAGGAACUCACAAACAAGUUUACCAUUAUGGAUAAGAAUAGGGAUUUUCUUAUGAAUAGGAUUCAUCUUUAAAAGCAAAUCACUCUUGUUACUCAAAUCUUCUUCCUUGUACUCGUAUUUUAUCCCUUUUUCCGCCAAAGCAAUCCUCACCUCACCCCAAAGGGACUUGGCCAGGAAUCCAACAAUACUACCUCUGAUCUCCCCUUUUUUCAAACUCAAAACAAAUUCAAAACGAUUUGAACUCUUUAUCUUUAGGUUCUAAUACCUGAAACUGAAGGGUUUUGCCAUUGUAUUUAUAGACAGAGUUUAGAGUUAGUGG